rnacentral:pre_miRNA from 1 species
UUCAUACUCCCUCCGUCCCGAAUUACUUGUCGCGGAAAUGGAUGUGUCUAGACGUAUUUUUAGUUCUGGAUACAUCCAUUUCUGCGACAAGUAAUUUGGGGAAGACGGAGUAUAAU